rnacentral:sRNA from 1 species
GCCGGGUGUGGUGGUGCAUACCUGUAAUCCCAGUGGCUUGGGAGGCUGAGGCAGGAGGAUUGCAAGUUUAAAGCCAGCCUCAACAAAAGUGAGGUGCUAAGCAACUCAGUGAGACCCUGUCUCUA